rnacentral:rRNA from 1 species
CCUACGGGUGGCAGCAGUGAGGAAUAUUGGUCAAUGGGCGCGAGCCUGAACCAGCCAAGUAGCGUGAAGGAUGACUGCCCUAUGGGUUGUAAACUUCUUUUAUAUGGGAAUAAAAUGCGCCACGUGUGGCUUUUUGUAUGUACCAUAUGAAUAAGGAUCGGCUAACUCCGUGCCAGCAGCCGCGGUAAUACGGAGGAUCCGAGCGUUAUCCGGAUUUAUUGGGUUUAAAGGGAGCGUAGGUGGAUUGUUAAGUCAGUUGUGAAAGUUUGCGGCUCAACCGUAAACUGGCAGUUGAAACUGGUAGUCUUGAGUACAGGAGAGGUAGGCGGAAUGCGUGGUGUAGCGGUGAAAUGCUUAGAUAUCACGAAGAACUCCGAGUGCGAAGGCAGCUUACUGGAGUGCAACUGACACUGAUGCUCGAAAGUGUGGGUAUCAAACAGGAUUAGAUACCCGAGUAGUC